GUGGGGAAUAUUGGGCAAUGGGGGCAACCCUGACCCAGCGACGCCGCGUGAGGGAAGACGGCCUUCGGGUUGUAAACCUCUUUUGUACGGGAAGAAGGAAGUGACGGUACUGUACGAAUAAGUCCCGGCUAACUACGUGCCAGCAGCCGCGGUAAUACGAAGGGUGCAAGCGUUAAUCGGAAUUACUGGGCGUAAAGCGUGCGUAGGUGGUUGUUCAAGUCUGUCGUGAAAGCCCUGGGCUCAACCUGGGAAUGGCGAUGGAAACUGGGCGACUAGAGUGCGGUAGAGGAUGGCGGAAUUCCCGGUGUAGCGGUGAAAUGCGUAGAGAUCGGGAGGAACAUCCGUGGCGAAGGCGGCCAUCUGGACCAGCACUGACACUGAGGCACGAAAGCGUGGGGAGCAAACAGGAUUAGAAACCCCGGUAGUCC
rnacentral:rRNA from 1 species